GUGUCCGUAGCUCAGCUGGAUAGAGUGUCGGCCUCCGGAGCCGAAGGCCGCGGGUUCGAAUCCCGCCGGGCACGCCA
rnacentral:tRNA from 1 species